rnacentral:rRNA from 1 species
GAUGAACGCUAGCGGCAGGCCUAAUACAUGCAAGUCGAACGGUGUCUUCGGACAUAGUGGCGCACGGGUGCGUAACACGUAUGCAACCUACCUUACAUUGGGGGAUAGCCUUUCGAAAGGGAGAUUAAUACCGCAUAAGACAGUAGCUGGGCAUCCAGCAGCUGUUAAAGAUUUAUCGAUGUAAGCUGGGCAUGCGUCCAAUUAGCUAGUUGGUGAGGUAACAGCUCACCAAGGCAACGUUUGGUAGGGGAACUGAGAGGUCAAUCCCCCACACUGGCACUGAGAUACGGGCCAGACUCCUACGGGAGGCAGCAGUAGGGAAUAUUGGGCAAUGGACGCAAGUCUGACCCAGCCAUGCCGCGUGCAGGAUGAAGGCGUUAUGCGUUGUAAACUGCUUUUAUACAGGAAGAAACGACUCUUGCGAGAGGCAUUGACGGUACUGUAUGAAUAAGCACCGGCUAACUCCGUGCCAGCCGCCGCGGUAA